AAAGCUAAGUGAUCAAGGCCACAGGGCUAAUUCAUCACAAAGUCAGGAUUUGGUUGCACAUCAGUCUACUUUCAAACACAAGGUCUUUCUACCGGAACAGGUUACUUUAAAUUCAGGGACAAGACUAGUUUGUCACCUCAGCUCCUAGCCUAGCUCCUGGCACAGAAUAUUAAACAGGUUAGGCAUUACUUGCGCCCUGCCGUUUGUAAGGUUUCGUUUUGUGUAGUACGGAGAAACGCACACUACUCACAGGCCGACGACCUACGCCGCGCAAAAAACCAGAAGAAUUUAGGACACCGCGCAACUCUUAGACUUUCCUUGACGCCCAUCUUUACGGCUGGCGUGUAACCGCUCUAUACUCUGGAGGACUCAGUGAGCAGGGCCAAUCAUUAGGCCACAUUAUAGGCACGUGGCUGGAAGUUUGACUUGCUAUUGGUUAAUGGCGGUAAAGCCCGCCCAACCACCUCCGGUCUGCUUCUUUAAGUAGAAGCCCGGUUAGUUCCCUUUCCUUUUAGCGACUCCGAAGCGGUGAAGGUGAGAUGGCGUGUGUUCUGGGCUGGGGCAGGUCCCGGCUAGGAGAAGGACGUCGCAUCUCAUUGUCCUCCCAGCUUUUCGACCUUUCCCCGAAGCCCCUCAAUAAAAUGGAUUGAUCUCA